ensembl:misc_RNA Metazoa_SRP Metazoan signal recognition particle RNA
GCUGGGCAUGGUGGUGUGUGCCUGUAAUCCCAGCUACUCAGGAGGCUGAGGCAGGAGUAUUGCUUGAACCCAGGAGGCAGAGGUUGCAGUGAGCAGAGAUUGCACCACUGCACUCUAGCCUGGGCGACAGAGUGAGACUCUGUCUCAA